rnacentral:tRNA from 1 species
ACCUGGGUGGCUCAGUUGGUUGAGCAUCUGGCUCUUGGUUUCUGCUCAGAUCAGGAUCUCAUGGGGCGUGGGAUAGAGCCCCAUCUCAGGUU